GCUGGCGGUAUGCCUAACACAUGCAAGUCGUACGAGAGUUUUUAACUCAAGUGGCGGACGGGUGAGUAACACGUGAGAAUCUACCUUUAGGAGGGGGAUAACAACUGGAAACGGUUGCUAAUACCCCAUAUGCUUUCGAGUGAAAUGGAUUUAUCCGCCUAGAGAGGAGCUCGCGGCUGAUUAGCUUGUUGGUAGGGUAAUGGCCUACCAAGGCGACGAUCAGUAUCUGGUUUGAGAGGACGAUCAGACACACUGGAACUGAGACACGGUCCA
rnacentral:rRNA from 1 species